CAGCAGCCGCGGGAAUACGAAGGGUGCAAGCGUUACUCGGAAUUACUGGGCGUAAAGCGUGCGUAGGCGGUUUGUUAAGUCUGCUGUGAAAUCCCCGGGCUCAACCUGGGAAUGGCAGUGGAUACUGGCAAGCUAGAGUGUGUCAGAGGAUGGUGGAAUUCCCGGUGUAGCGGUGAAAUGCGUAGAGAUCGGGAGGAACAUCAGUGGCGAAGGCGGCCAUCUGGGACAACACUGACGCUGAGGCACGAAAGCGUGGGGAGCAAACAGGAUUAGAUACCCCGGUAGUCCCUGUCUCUUAUAC
rnacentral:rRNA from 1 species